rnacentral:rRNA from 1 species
AUGAACGCUGGCGGCGUGCUUAACACAUGCAAGUCGAACGAUGAAGCCCAGCUUGCUGGGUGGAUUAGUGGCGAACGGGUGAGUAACACGUGAGUAACCUGCCCUUAACUCUGGGAUAAGCCUGGGAAACUGGGUCUAAUACCGGAUAGGAGCGUCCACCGCAUGGUGGGUGUUGGAAAGAUUUAUCGGUUUUGGAUGGACUCGCGGCCUAUCAGCUUGUUGGUGAGGUAAUGGCUCACCAAGGCGACGACGGGUAGCCGGCCUGAGAGGGUGACCGGCCACACUGGGACUGAGACACGGACCAGACUCCUACGGGAGGCAGCAGUGGGGAAUAUUGCACAAUGGGCGCAAGCCUGAUGCAGCGACGCCGCGUGAGGGAUGACGGCCUUCGGGUUGUAAACCUCUUUCAGUAGGGAAGAAGCGAAAGUGACGGUACCUGCAGAAGAAGCACCGGCUAACUACGUG